CAGAGUUGCAAAACUCCCUAAACCAUUGUGAACCUACCUUCUACCGUUGCUUCGGCGGGCGGGCCCAGCGCCCCCCCGGCCCCCCCGCGGGCGCCCGCCGGAGGAUACCAAAACUCGUGAUACCAGUGGCCUCUCUGAGUAUUCUGUACUGAAUAAGUCA
rnacentral:misc_RNA from 1 species